UGGCCCUGUGACCUUGGCCUCCCCUGAGCUUAGUGCCUCUUUCAUGAAAUGAGGGCAUCAGUGGUGUCUACCACAGGGUUGUAAAGCUUCAGUGAAGCUCUGUUUGUGAAACACUUAGCAUAGUGCCUGGUGGCUAUUCUUCAGCCUGCACAGUCCAUUCUGGACCCAUCCCUAGGAAGGUAAAGAUUCCACUGGGUCUGAGAUGUGGAGAGCUGGUGAUGCAGGUCCAGGUGGUCUUUGCUGCCAUCCUGGUCUAGAAGGGCAGCACCUUGUAGAGUGAAGAAAGUCAGGCUCAGUCCGGGUUCCACUUGUUGGCCUAGGCCAGCAUUUCUCAAAGUGUGGUCUACACAGAGAACACUUAAGUGGUGCAGAGGCAAACACUGAACAAUGUGAGCUACAUAUUUUUAUGUGUAUUACAAAUAUACCAUUUUCCCAUUUAUGGUGGUUCUAUAAUGCUUCCUCUAAAAAGAAAUUUAUGGAGUUGAAAAAAAAACGAUUUAAAGGAAAACCUUAGGCAGUAGCAGAGUGGUAUGUGGACAUGGUAAACCAUGAGUGGUACUUGUUUGUGGAGAUUUGGGGACUGCUGGCCUAGAAUGAGGUUCUCAGUGGUGCCAGUUCUUCAGUCCCUUGUCUGUUAAAUGGAAGGGACAUUACCUCCCGGGGCAGGUAGAGAGAUGACAUGAGAAGGUGCGAGUGAAAGGCCCUGCACGGUGCUUGAGAUAAGUGCCCAUCUUACCUGAAGUUUCUCUGUCCCUACCUGACUCAGGAUCAUAGUGCCCUUUUUGACUGUCAUUAUUGUAUCACUGGCUAAAAUGAUCUUAUUUACAAUCCUCCUCCAUAAUUCUAAAAUUCCAGAUGCCCUGAAAACAGGUUUUUAAAAAAAAGGCAGUUGGCACUUACCAGUUUGUUUUUUGAUAUAAAUUUGCAGAUUUUGUAGCAAAACUGGACCUGAAACAAUGUGAAACUCUUUCUCUGUGAUGUAUCCCUCUCAGUGUAAGCAUCGAUGUGUGUGGCUACAGAACAGUUAAUGUAUUUGAUCAUGAAGAGUUGGCUCAGACUCUAUGGGGUAUAACAUUUUAUAUGGAAUCUGGACUUCAUGACCUUUCUCGGUGUGAAAAUUUUCUAUCACCGAAAAUAUCUGGUGGUGAAGGUUUCAGAUAAAGAAUUAUGGACCACUAGUUGUUUGUCUCCCCAACCUGAAUGUAAACCCCAAGAGGGCAGGGCCCUCACUUUUUUUGAUUAACACUAUAUCCAAGGCCUAGUAUGGCACAUAGUAGGCACUUAGUACACGUGAGUGGAGCCACUGGGUGGAUGUUCCCUUGCUGGCCACCAUGGCCUGGCUCUGGUGAGGGUGGCUCUGGCAGUUCAGCUGGGAUGGUAGGUGGCUCUCUACUGGGCCAUGUGAGGGGUCAGCCUGAGACCCCCGAAACCAGUUCUGUUUCAGAGCUUGGCGCUACGAGUGGUUAGGUUACUUGGGAUGGUCCAUACUGGACAAGGCCAUCCAGAGAGGCCUUUCCAGUCCAGUCCUCUGUGGUCUGUUAAACUCUAAGAACCUGGUGACAGAUUCAAUGCCUGUCAGCUAUUUGAACUGCAAGUCCCCACUCUGCUUCCUGACCCACUAGUGCAGCCCUCAUAUCUCUGGACUGAUAUUCUAAAAGGCUUUUUGAUGACAUUUGUGCUCCUGACUGCCUAUCUCCCAGCUUUCUCAGACAGCACUGGUCCUAUACUCCCUACAGAGCAUCUCACAUGUAACAGGGUCCUAGGAAGUAUUUUCUGAAUGACUGAAAUGAUGAAUGAAUAGAAGAAAGAGUGAAUUACAUCUUUCUUGACAUUUGACCUUCUUUCUUCUUCCUGGCUUGGUACAAACCCCGUCUUCACCUCUGAGUUGCUGACAUGCAUGGCUUGUUCCCUACUUUGUUUUGCAAUAUACUCAACCAUCAUUCUUGAUUUCUCAGGCUCUGGCUGCACGUGGAGAUCCUCCUUUUGAGCUGCAUCCUCUUCCUUAACUUCAUCUUCGUUAAGGAUUAUAUGAUCACUUCCUAUGGGUUAAGCACUGUGCUCAAGCUCAUCAUCUCAUUGAAUUGUUUUUAUCCCCUUUAUAAGGAGGUGGAGUAACUCAUCCGAAGUCACAGAGCUAGUAAGUGGCAGAGCUGAGAUUCAAACCCAGGCCUGACCAGUCUUCUGACAUCCUCUCUACAUAGUAUCUUAGAGCCUCAACGUUUCCCUUCUUUGAGUUGUCUCCACAGAUCACCAAGAUGUUCUAAACUCUUAGCUCAGCCUACUGAGUGAGCCCUGCAGCCUGACAUGAACCCUCUAAUGCCCCGUACUAACCUGUCAGGUCAUGAAAGACAUGAAUUACCAGCAUGGGACUCUACGGCUUUGGGGUUAAUGUGUCAGACUCUGGAAUCCCACAGCUGCAAUAGCACACACUUCAAAGAAUAUAAUCUCUAGGAGGCUAUGGUAGGUACUCAAUAACACGUGUUUGAAUAAUCAGUUUGAUUAAUUAGUCAAAUUACAUCAUAUCUAUAAAGGUCAUAGCUCAGUGACUGGCAGAAACCAAGCAUCUUCAAAGGAGAGCGACUAUUUUUAUUCACCACCAGGAGCCCAUUGCAAGUUGCAGCACUGAUUAAGUCAAGCUUUUUGACAGGUGCAAGGGACUCCCAUUUCAAAGUCAUGUUAGGAACCUAAAGUGAUUCUCUCCCACCAAAAUCAGAAUCUCUAUGACAUUAGUGGUCUAGAGUUUGUACCUAACUCCAGCUUCCCUGACACCAGUUUGCUCUCUUCUCGCACAGAGCCAGGCCUGGUCUACAGCUGCAGAACUGAGGAGCAGGGCUUCGGGAGGGUGUUUUGAAAAUUCUCAGCAAUGAAUUACUGACAUGCUGCCUAAGGGCUAAAAGCACAGUCAACUUGUUUGGUGCCUUUCUACCUCUAAAUUACCCAACUUGUACAGGAUCUUUAGCUUGGGAACAUUAACUCAGGUUUGCCAGCGCCUUGUCUUCCUGGUGUGUAAGCCACCUUCUUACCUGGUCUCCUCUCCCACCUCAACAAGCUUGCUGCUAUGGAAUGAAUUUCAUGCUGAGGUGUCCGCUCUGAGGGUUUAGGUCUUCAGGAAUAUAAUUCAGGGUGGCAAAAGUUGAGCUGGGGAAGUGUAGUGUGAGCAAUUUUUGAACCACGUUUGUACUUAACACUGUGUAGUUUUAUUUAUUUACUUUUUUCAUCAGAAAAGUCAUUUUGGAGUUUAUUGAUUAAAUCAGCCUGUGCAAGCAGAAGAACUGUAUAGCUCUGAGGGAUUAUGAAAAUUAGUAUCUCAGGCUUCAGGUGUGUAAUUGGAGGCCUGUUGAGAUGACAUUUACAUUUAUUUGUUUUUCUUCAGCAGAAGGACCCACAGGACUAUCUGAAACUCACUGAAUGCACUCCACUUUUUAGAAGGUGGGUAGGACUUAUUUGGGUGGGUAUGCUUAGAAGGGCAGGUGCAGAGUGGGUUGUUGUGUGAUCCAAGGAGAAUGAGUUAACCUGGGAACUAGGGAAGGUGACUGGUGACUGUGGCAAAAUAUUUUCCCAAGAUGGCUGUGUUGAUUUAUGUCCCAUUCCACAGGCCUGUGACAUUGACAUUCCUCCACCAAGAGAUGGGAGUCUCUGUUCCCUCCCCAUGAAAUGGGGUGGAUCUUUGUAACUGUCUUGACCAGUAGAAUAUGGUAGAAGUGAUACCAUGUGACUUCUGAGGUUAAAUUAUAGAAGGCAGUGCAGCCUAGCUCUUGGGACACAGCCACCAUGUUGUACAGAAGCCCAAGCCAUGGAGAGGCCAUGUGUGUAUUUCAGUUGAUGACUUCAGCUAGACCCUAAGCUGACAGCCAGCUUCAAUUGCCACACAUAUGAGUGAUUAAGCCCCCAAAUGAGUGUAGACCUCAGUCUUUGAGUUUCCUAGCUUAGGCCCCCAAACAUUUUGGAGUAGAGACAGCCACCCCUAUUGUGUCCUGACUGAAUUUCUAACCCCAGAAACCAUGAGAGGUAAUAAACAACUAUUGUUGUUUAAAGCCACAAAGUUUUGAGGUGAUUUAUUAUGUGGCAAUAGAUGACUAAUUUAAUAGAUGAUAACUUAAAAUAGAGGAAGCAGGGAAAGCAUCUUAUCCUUUGGAGACCCUUGACAGAUAUUGCAAGAAGGCUGGAGUUUCUGAAAUUACAAAGGAGUAGAGGUCAUUUCUGACAGUGCUGGCUUGGGAGAGGGCAGGAGAUACAAUGGAGCCAUAGCUUCCAGGAUGGGAUGUCUUUGUGGGAGAGGCAGGAAGAUGACUCCAUCUCUUUGAGCCUGACCCUUGAAGCAAGUGACUGUUCUGCAUGGUUAUGGCUGGAGGUAGCAUGCUCUCACACUUUUUGAUGCUGGAGGCUGGUAGCAUAGCCCAGCUCCUCAGGACUUCUAGAGGGUUCUAUGCCAGAACCUAUUUAUCUGCCAUUGUCUAUUUCUCUUGGACAUUGUAGGAGGUGAAACUCCUUAAAACCCAUGGGCAAUCAUAAAUGUCAGACUCAAGAUACAAGAUCUCUGAUCGCAAAACAAGGAAGGAGUUUAUGCUAGUCAAGGUUUUGGUGACAAGAAACAGAUAAUUACUCUAGAUGAAUUAAGCAAAAAAUGAGAUUAUUGAAAAGACUUGGGUCGUUCUCAAAAUGCCUGGGUAGAGAAUAAGGGCUGAACUACAUGACAGAACCAGUUCAGUAAGGGCACAGCCAUUGAACUCAGUUGUCAGUGAACUCCAGAUGGAGCCACUGGUACAACUACUAUUAUGGCCCUAGGAAUCAUAUACAAAUCAUGUAACUACUUUUCCAACAGGAUGUAACCUCCCUGUCUCUACUUCUUCUGGUCACUAGCUGUUGGAUUCCAAGUCCAGCAGCAGAUAUACCUGAUUGGUUGAGCCUGGGUAAUGUGCCACUUCCUAGCUGCAAGAGAGGCUAGGAAAUCAAGGCUCUAGAGUUUUAUCUUUGUACAGUGGAAGAAGAUUCCUUCCAGAUAGGAAGAGGCUUCAGGUACUGGGCAGACAAAAAUCACAAAUGUCCAUUACUGGGUUAUUCUAGACUUUUGCUCUUGAAGGUACAUCAGUGUGUCAAUGUGUAUUUGUAGGGGAGAGGAAGAGCAGACUUUGACUUUAAGAACUAUGGGGAAAUUGCUGGAAAGAUCAUUACCCCUAGAAAAUAUGGUGUGCUUGUUAUUUGCCUGUUUAUUCUCAGUGCCAUUCUUUCCCUUUAGUGUGCUCUACUCUGCAUCGCAGGGCCUGUAUCCCUGCAACUCGUGGAUCCCAGGCCCCCUUGGUAGUUUCAGUCAGUGGGAAGCACUGGUAGGAAGCUGGAAGGUGGGAAGAGUUAGAAAGAUGUGUUUUCUCUCUUCUUGUUUCUUGUGUGAUCUUUGGGAAUGACUCUCUGACAGUUCUGACUUCAGCCAUGAUAGCUCAGUACCAGCCGGGGAAAGCCCUCCUUGUUUGUCCUAGUGCUGACCUGGGGGCCCCUCCUUGGCAGCUCCAUCACCCUUUCCGGCACCUGUGGCAGUGCAGUCAUAAGUGCAUUCCUGGGUUUGGAUAACACAUUCUCAUGUCUGCCUAAGGCCCUGAAGAAGUAGCUGCUUUCUGUGGUUCCUAGUUUCUGUCUUACCUUCCUUUCCCUUUUUGUUCUUCUAGCAUUUCUAACACUUUGUAACUAGUUCCCUGGGUUAAAUCCCUUAUAUUUGAAAUACUAAUAUGUUUCCUGAUUUCUGACCCAACUCUGAUUGAUAAACUUUAUUUGGCACUAACUCUUUAAGAAGCUUUCCCUGAUAUUAUCCCUGCACUUUGCCCCUCUGAGCCCCACCAUGCCAAGUACAGUACCACACACUCACAGGUAGGUAUGUAACAGUAACGUUUGUUGCUGUUUACAGUGAUAGUCAUGAAAAUUAGAAGUACAGGUUUGCAGAAUGAUUCAGCUUUUCUUAGGCAUGAAAGUCGACCUCUAAGUCUGGAAUUCCAGUCUAGAUUCCAUUAAUAGCUAACUGUGCAACCUUGGGUGAGUCAGUUGCCAUCUCUGAGCUACAGUUUCCUCUCCCUAAGAAUGAAUGAGUUCAAUCAGAAGAGUGAUUUCCAAACUUUUUUUGGUUGGUAGGUUGUGCAUAAUACUGUGUGGAAGGCAAAUAUGGAAACUAGAAAUAGAUUCUCUGGUUGAAGUGAGGGUUAGGUAUUUCAGAGUUCUAUGAACUUCAGUUUUCCACUAUCCCCGAACCUUUGAUGCAACUCCACCACACCUCUACAGCUUAAUGGAACAAAAUUAUAACUCUGCACUAGAUCACCUAUUCUAUAUAUUUCAGCUUUACAUAUACAGGCACAACAAGUAGGUAAGCUGGAGACAACUAAAUAUGAUGCCCACGUACUGCUCCAGUGUUUUUCUGUACAUCCUGGCCUCACUUCCAUCAGUAGAGUUAGGAACUUGGGUACAACUCUUCCCUGAAACCACAUCACAUAAGACAUGCAUAUUUUGGCCAACUGGAUAACCAUACUAAAUUCAAUGUUAAUAGAUGUAAAUAGAAUUCCGAGCAGAUACUUGAAUAAGGAUAGUCCAAGUCUUUUCACCAUGAACUUGAUAAGGUCAUUUUAAUAGUUUUGAAUACUGAAACUUAGUUACCUUGUAAUCAACACCCCCCUUGAAAUUAACCAUAUCUGUAUUGGUUAACUUUUUCCAACUCUGUGUGUGGUCUGGCUAAUUGGCUCUACUGAGAUGAGGUGUGUUCACCAUUAAUACAGCUUGAUAUGCUAGGAAAUCAUCUUUGUAGCUAGCCACAGAAGAGCCAGUUGAUUAUUUGGGUAAAGUUCAAGUGCACCAAACUGUGCUUUCCUUAAAGAGGGAAGAAACAGAGGAGCAUAGGGCAAAAUCAAAGCAGAGAGUUUUUUGAACAAGGCUGGGAUCUUUCUGGAGUUAUUUUUAAGGAGAAAUAUUGACAUGAGAAUAAAUACAUGUUCUCUAUCCACUCAGGUUUUCAUUGUUAUCAUCAUCUUUGCAGCCAAUGUCAUUAUCUUCAAAGGCACUGAGCAUUUACUAUAUGCCAGGCAUAAUGCUUAUCACAUCUAAUUUCUACAACCACUGUAUCCUUAGUUUUUAUAGAAGAGGAAACUGAGAUUCAGGGAAGUUCCAUUACUCACUUUUUUGCAUUUAUCAACUAGCAAGUAACUGAACUGGGAGUCAAACCUACCCUUGCUUAAUUAUAAGACUAGGCUCAUAAGAUCCUACUACCUUCCCACUUGCAGAAACGCCCAAUGGAAGGGUGGGAUCCCCAUUCCAUUUUGUCUUUUUAGCAUGGUGCCAUUGCCAUCAUCAGUCUGCCCUCUCACUCACAGACAAUCCAAGGCCUGUGAGGUCUGUAUGGUGGAGCUCCCAGUGACUCAUCCUCAGCUUGAAGCAGCUUCAAGUGUUUGCCUUCUUUCCAUGUCUGGGACUGCUGGGCAGCGUUGAGCUGUCACCUGGCUGGGGAGACUGCUGAAUCAAGACUGAAACCAAUCAGCAUGGGAAACCUGCCAACCUCUACACCCCCAGCAGACAGCCUUAUUUCCUUGCUGAAGCACCUCAGGCCAAUAUUUCAGAUGUACAGCUACUAAGAAAGAGUCAAAGGAAAUUGAUCUCAAGAUCCCAGCAUCUGUCACUCACUACAGAACAUGCCUGGGAAUCCUUCCUCCACUCAAGAGGGCAAGCCUACGUCAAAUAGUGUUCUGGAUUGAAGGGUAGUAGAUGUGAGCAUUUCUAGCCCAUUGAGAUAACUCCUCUGUAUUUUAUGGUCACAGAUUAUGUGGCUAUCACUUUUUCUUUUUAAAGGAUCAAUGUGGAUGGUUUGGUGGAAAAAAGGUCCCAUUUUGGAGAAAUAAUGCAAAACCUAAUGACAUGCCAUUUGGGGAUUGGGAAAAUAUUCCUCAGUUAUAUGAAACAAUUUAUUUUAGCUCUCCCACCCCAAAGCAUAGUUUAGUUUCAUAUGUAUAAUGGAAUUGAUUUUCUUAUUUUUAAUUUAUUAUUGGUGUUUGUCCACAGUGGAGGCUGCUUGUUGAGCACUUCUCUGUCUGUUCCAAGUGGCCAGUUCGAUCAGCCAUCAGCAACCUCCUAGCUGCUGGUCAGUUGGCCUGAAUCAACCAGAAAGUGAUGUUUGGUUCUGAGGGUAGACAUGGCUUUAUUGCCUCAUAGUUUUGAUAACAUUUUUUUUCCUCCAAGGGUCAAGUCAGACCCUGCUCUCUGAUGUCAUAAACUCUGAGGCAAACGGCAGAAAUUCAGUACCAUGGGAGUGCUCUCAAUGGUCGACCAAGAAGUCUCCAGAAUCUGGCAUAGUGAAUUAUGCUUCAUUGAAGAAAUCUCUCCCAAGUUCCUAGAGGAGAAGGCAUGCUAAGAAAUUGUAUGUGUGAAUCAAAUUAAAGGAUCAUAACACCAGGCUGCCAGAUACUGAGAAAACAAGGAAACUGCUUGGGAGUCUGAUAAGAGUUUGGUCUUACGAUUCUUGGAGUGGUGGAGGCAUGGCAAGAACCAGGUGACUGGGAGAGGAGAGAAGGAGUGAGGACCACUUGUUAGAUAGAGAGCCUAUGACUGCUUGAACAAUGAUACCCAAGACUUGGCUCAUGGGGACCAGUAAAUAUGGUGGCUCAGAGAGCCUGGAACCAGCAGUUGCAUGAGAGAACUUCGGUGAUUACUAAGGAAGCAGUGUGAACUGGGCUCCUCCAUCCAUCUCUCUCUCCCAGGACCUUGCAUCUUGGGAAGAAUAGUUGACCUUCAUUCAUUCCAGCCAUGGUGGCUUUAUGUUGUUUGGAGAACUCUUCAACAUUCUUGCUCAGUCUCUCUUUCAAGUUAGUUAGAGUUAGGUUCUGUUGAUUGCAAUUAAAUUACCCUAACUGUUAAACAGUCCCUUUAUAAAUUAUGUAAUUGCAAAACAGACACCCAGGGAGUGUGUUUGGCCUUUUAGGGGGCUUGAGACCUGAAGCUACUGGUAGAUCAUUGUCCUGCCACUUGAACACUGCCAAGCAUAGCUGUAUGCUCAGUCUGUUGGGCAAUGGGAAUGUGUCAGUAGGGGAUGCUCAACACUUCACUGCAGGUGGAAGACACUGAUGUUUAGCUGUCAUGGUACUUAUCCCUGUCAAAAAUCAUUGCUCUCUUUCUUGUCUCAAUAUGACCUAUGCCAGCAGAAAGAAGGUUUGGGAGUCAGCAUAGCUGAGAACCUGCACAACUCUAGCUGUGUGACCAUGAGCAAGUCAUACCACCUCUCCACUGUCUGUUUCCUCAUGUACAAAAGAAUGAAAUUACACACAGCAACCCAACAUAUAAUAUUAUGAACAGCAGAAUUGCUCUGGUUGCCAGAAGGAUGCUGGUGGGCCAGGUUGUUUUGGCCUGUGGCUCUGAGGCUGCAUGGGACCGAGUGAGUCAAGAAGGAGGUGACAAGAGACCCGGCAACAAGCACUGAUUUAUGACCUGAGGCUCCCAUUCCAGAAGCUACAUCAUCAGUCCCUCUGGGAAAGAGGAUUAGCCAGAUGAACUGCCCUUCUAACUGCAGGAUUGAGUCCCAGGCCUGCUCCAAGGGUGAGGAGGUGGUGCUUGGAGCUGUGGCAGCCAUCUUGCUACCCUGAGGAGAAAGCCAAGAACAUUGAGGAGAAGCAGAUCCAGAGCUUUGACACUGUCAAGCCACGGAUCUAACCUUGCAAUGAAUGUCCAGUAAAAUGGGUGCCCUGAUCACUCUCAAUUACCUGUGGUCCACCAUUGGGAGCAAGGAGACGCUCCAGGCCUCUUUUGGUCGUUUGCUGGUCUGCACAACGGGUAGGAAAACCAACCAGAAGUCCAGUAGCUGUGUCCACACAAGUCAUUGCAUACCAAUAUCCUUCU